CGGGAGGCUGUGCGAAAGAACUACGAGUCCCAUCGUGCCCCGCGCUCCGCAGGGCUGGAGAUCGGGCGGGCGGACUGCGGACACCGGGGUGAGUGAGUGCAUCGGCAGCCCCCCCGCUUCGGCCCCGCCGCGUCCCCCUGUUGCGGGGAGCGGAGCCAUGGGCGGGGAGGACGAGAUCGUGCGCAUCGCCAAGCGGCUGGACAAGAUGGUGUCCAAGAAAAGCGCGGAUGGUGCGAUGGAUUUGCUGAAGGAACUGAAAAGUAUGCCUAUCACUCUGGACCUGUUACAGUCCACCCGGAUUGGGAUGUCGGUGAAUGCGUUGAGGAAGCAGAGCACUGACGAGGAAGUGAUAUCGCUUGCCAAAUCACUUAUCAAGUCCUGGAAAAAGCUUCUAGAUGCUUCAGAGGACAAAAAUGAGGAGAAGAAGAGGAAUUCAUCCUUGUCGGCAUCCUCCUCAAAAGAGAGCGGUGACUCAAGAGACCAAAGCUCCAACAAAAGGCAGGACCCACCGAAGACUCCAACCACACCGAAAAUCACCACCUUUCCGCCGGUGCCCGUCACCUGCGACGCUGUCCGCAACAAAUGCAGAGAAAUGCUGACUUCUGCUCUGCAGACUGACAAUGAUUACAUUGCCAUUGGUGCUGACUGUGAGCACCUCUCUGCCCAAAUUGAAGAAUAUAUCUACCAAGACGUCAAGAACACCGACAUGAAGUACAAAAACCGCGUGAGGAGCCGUAUCUCCAACCUGAAGGACUCCAAAAACCCUGAGCUGAGAAAGAACGUGUUGUGUGGAGCAAUCACCCCGGAGCAGAUUGCAGUGAUGACCUCAGAGGAAAUGGCCAGUAACGAGCUGAAGGAGAUUAGGAAGGCCAUGACGAAGGAAGCGAUCCGGGAGCACCAGAUCGCUAGGACGGGAGGGACCCAGACCGACCUCUUCACCUGUGGGAAGUGCAAGAAGAAGAACUGCACUUACACUCAGGUGCAGACCCGCAGCUCCGAUGAGCCCAUGACCACCUUCGUCGUGUGUAACGAGUGUGGGAACCGCUGGAAGUUCUGUUGAGAUAUCUGUGAGCCCAGCGGCGGCAGCCGAACCUGGAUGGACCACAACCUAUAUUCUCUGACUUCUCCAGCCAUUGUGUACUGUAUCCCAACACUUUGCAUUUCCUGCCCAAAUGUCAUGUGGACCCAGUGGAUGAGCACUGCCUGAGAUACCAUCCAGCCAGAAGCCACACCACUUACCAUAGAUCUAGUUAGAUACCCUGAAAUUUGGUCUUCCUUCUCUGUUGGGCAGUAAGGUUGUGUGUUAGCCCACUGUGCCAUCAGAAAAGGGGUCGGCCUUCAAACCUCAGCUGUCCGAAUCCUGGCUGUGAAAAAUGCCCUGGCAGUUUUACUGACACUGCAGUUUUCCUUGGGAUGCUUCCUAGUCCUAAACAUACGACAUUUUGUUUUUAAUCAGCUCAUGAACAAAAAACCUGAGCCAAAUCUUGCACCCAUGACAUAGGCCACAUUCCAGCUGAGUUAGUGGGAGUUUUGCUCAGAUAUCAAGUGCAGGACAUGGCUCAUUGACUUUAUGUAGUGGUGGGGGCAGUGCAAGGCCUCGAUUCUGAUCUCAGGUACUGCUGGAAGUCAGUAGAGUUACUCUGAAUUUACAGCAGCAUAAUUGAGAACAGUGCUUGCGUUAGUACAGAUCUAGGGCUUCUGUUUUUGAGGGGGUUGUUAAUUUCAUUGGGGAGGGUUAUUUUUAGCCAUUUUUUAAUUUUAUGGAGGUGUCCAAAAAUUGGGGUUUUGG